UCAUUUGUACCCUCAAGCUCUGCUUGGUGUUGGGUGUUUGUUCCGCCUUGUGCGUGGACUCGCCUCAAAUCAAUUGGCAGCCGGCAAUCUGGUGUUGGAGCGCAGCACAAUUUGCGCUCUCCGCCAUGUAUUGCGGCGUCCAUGAAGCCCAUAAUUUUGCGCUUGACCUCGGAUCAGGUAGGGAUACCCGCUGAACUUAA
rnacentral:misc_RNA from 1 species